rnacentral:rRNA from 1 species
AGAGUUUGAUCAUGGCUCAGGAUGAACGCUGGCGGUCUGCUUAACACAUGCAAGUCGAACGGAAGUAGCAAUACUUUAGUGGCGGACGGGUGAGUAACGCGUGAGAAUCUACCUUCAGGACGGAGACAACAGUUGGAAACGACUGCUAACCCCCGAUGUACCGCAAGGGCAAAUAUUUAUAGCCUGAAGAAGAGCUCGCGUCCGAUUAGCUAGUUGGGGGGGUAAAAGCCCACCAAGGCGACGAUCGGUAGCUGGUCUGAGAGGACGAUCAGCCACACUGGGACUGAGACACGGCCCAGACUCCUACGGGAGGCAGCAGUGGGGAAUUUUCCGCAAUGGGCGCAAGCCUGACGGAGCAAGACCGCGUGGGGGAGGAAGGCUCUUGGGUUGUAAACCCCUUUUCUCUGGGAAGAACAAAAUGACGGUACCAGAGAAUCAGC